rnacentral:piRNA from 2 species
UGACACAGUCUUAGCGUAGCGUUGAUCAA